rnacentral:rRNA from 1 species
UGGGGAAUAUUGCACAAUGGGCGAAAGCCUGAUGCAGCGACGCCGCGUGAGGGAUGACGGCCUUCGGGUUGUAAACCUCUUUCAGCAGGGACGAAGCGCAAGUGACGGUACCUGCAGAAGAAGCACCGGCUAACUACGUGCCAGCAGCCGCGGUAAUACGUAGGGUGCAAGCGUUGUCCGGAAUUACUGGGCGUAAAGAGUUCGUAGGCGGUUUGUCGCGUCGUUUGUGAAAACCAGCAGCUCAACUGCUGGCUUGCAGGCGAUACGGGCAGACUUGAGUACUGCAGGGGGGACUGGAAUUCCUGGUGUAGCGGUGAAAUGCGCAGAUAUCAGGAGGAACACCGGUGGCGAAGGCGGGUCUCUGGGCAGUAACUGACGCUGAGGGACGAAAGCGUGGGUAGCGAACAGG